AUUGAACGCUGGCGGCAGGCCUAACACAUGCAAGUCGAACGAGUGGCGGACGGGUGAGUAAUGUCUGGGAACCUGCCCGAUGGAGGGGGAUAACUACUGGAAACGGUAGCUAAUACCGCAUACCAUCGGAUGUGCCCAGAUGGGAUUAGCUAGGAGGUGGGGUAAAGGCUGACCUAGGCGACGAUGCCUAGCUGGUCGGAGAGGGUGAGCAGCCACACUGGUACUGAGACACGGUCCAGACGCCUACGGGAGGCAGCAGUGGGGAAUAUUCCACAAUGGUCGCAAGCCUGAUGCAGCCAUGCCGCGUGUAUGAAGAAGGCCUUCGGGUUGUAAAGUACUGUCAUCAGGGAGGCGUUAUCCGCAGAAGAAGCACCGGCUAACUCCGUGCCAGCAGCCGCGGUAAUAC
rnacentral:rRNA from 1 species